UACGGGGGGGGGCAAGCGUUUGUUCGGAAUUACUGGGCGUAAAGGGCUCGUAGGCGGCCAACUAAGUCGGAUGUGAAAUCCCCAGCUUAACCUGGGAACUGCAUCCGAUACUGGAUGGCUUGAAUCCGGGAGAGGGAUGCAGAAUUCCAGGUGCAGCGGUGAAAUGCGCAGAUAUCAGGAGGAACACCGGUGGCGAAGGCGGGACUCCUGGGACCGGA
rnacentral:rRNA from 1 species